AACUAACCGGAUUCCCUUAGUAACGGCGAGUGAACAGGGAAGAGCCCAGCACCGAAGCCUGCGGUUGUGUAACUGUUAGGCAAUGUGGUGUUUAGGUCUAAUUGCGGAGGUAUCGUUUCACUCAAAGUCCAGCAAUGAGUAUGGUAAAAUGGACUUGGCCCAGAGAGGGUGAAAGGCCCGUACGAGUGAAGAUCAUGUUGGUUGAUACCUUCAUCAAUGGACCUUGGAGUCGGGUUGUUUGUGAAUGCAGCCCAAAGUGGGUGGUAAACUCCAUCCAAGGCUAAAUACUUACACGAGUCCGAUAGCGAACAAGUACCGUGAGGGAAAGUUGAAAAGUACUUUGAAGAGAGAGUAAACAGUACGUGAAACCGCUCAGAGGUAAACGGGUGGCGUUGAACUGCAAGCCCUGGGAAUUCAACCAGUGAGCAUGACUUGUGCUUGGACAUGACCGAUUGUUGAGUAGAGUCCGCCAGAUUGGUAGGUCUAGCAGCCUAUGCUGUUAGACAGACGUGGUCCGCUUAUCAAGCGCUGUCUGCUCUGCUCCAUGUGAAGACGAAUCGGCUUGCUGGUGCACUUUCUCAGGGUUAACACCACGACCGACGCUGUUGUCCGUCUGCUAUGGUCAAACCGUGUGGUCAGGAUCCUUGUGGUUUUGUCUAUACGGGAUGGCAGGUAGCUUGGUGACUGGUGCUGGUUACUUGUUGAUCAGUGCCACAAUAAGUUGCUGAGUGUUACAAGCUGGCCAUAGUGGUUGUGUUUACGGUGCAGUGUGUCGGAGCUUACGGCUUAAGGCCUGUGCACGUGUGUCCUGGUCGUAUGGAUGUGUUCCAAGUCUGGUCGCUUGUCUGCUUGCAUCAUACAAGCCUGGUGAUGUCUUGGCAACAUGCUCAUGCGCGACUGCAUGUGUGAGGCUAUGCAAUGGGCCUAUAGUCUGUGGUGUUGUGGUAGACUGCCUCCUGACCCGUCUUGAAACACGGACCAAGGAGUUUAACAUGUGCGCGAGUCAUUGGGCGUUACGAAACCCAAAGGCGGAGUGAAAGUGAAGGUCAGACCUCGCAUGCAUGCGUGCAUGUGUGUAUGCAUGUGCGCGUGUGCCCGCGUGUGUCUUGGCUGAGGUGAGAUCUUGUUGUUUCUCGUGCACGCACUACCAAGCGUUUGAGCAAUAGGCGCAUCACCUGCCCGUCCCAUGGUGUGGCCACACUGCCUCGGUGGUGUGCGUCAUCGGGGCGGAGCUAGAGCGUACAUGUUGAGACCCGAAAGAUGGUGAACUAUGCUUGCGCAGGUUGAAGCCAGAGGAAACUCUGGUGGAGGACCGCAGCGAUUCUGACGUGCAAAUCGAUCGUCUGACGUGAGUAUAGGGGCGAAAGACUAAUCGAACCAUCUAGUAGCUGGUUCCCUCCGAAGUUUCCCUCAGG
rnacentral:rRNA from 1 species